UACGUAGGGGGCAAGCGUUAUCCGGAUUUACUGGGUGUAAAGGGAGCGUAGACGGCACUGCAAGUCUGGAGUGAAAGCCCGAGGCCCAACCACGGGACUGCUCUGGAAACUGCGGGGCUGGAGUGCAGGAGGGGUAAGCGGAAUUCCUAGUGUAGCGGUGAAAUGCGUAGAUAUUAGGAGGAACACCGGUGGCGAAGGCGGCUUACUGGACUGUAACUGACGUUGAGGCUCGAAGGCGUGGGGAGCAAACAGG
rnacentral:rRNA from 1 species